UACAGAGGUCCCAAGCGUUGUUCGGAUUCAUUGGGCGUAAAGGGUGCGUAGGCGGCGGGGUAAGUCAGGUGUGAAAUCCCGGAGCUCAACUCCGGAACUGCACUUGAUACUGCCUUGCUUGAGUACUGGAGAGGAGACUGGAAUUUACGGUGUAGCAGUGAAAUGCGUAGAUAUCGUAAGGAAGACCAGUGGCGAAGGCGAGUCUCUGGACAGCUACUGACGCUGAGGCACGAAGGCCAGGGGAGCAAACGGG
rnacentral:rRNA from 1 species